rnacentral:lncRNA from 1 species
CUCGUCUCAAAAAAAAAAAAAAAAAAGUGACUGUGGUGGUGCACACGUAUAAUCCCAGCUACUUGAGAGAUGACGAGGGAAGAUCACUUGAGCCCAGGAGUUAAGAGGCUGCAGUGACCGAUGAUCAUGCCACUGCACUCCAGCUUGGGUGAGAGUGGGACUCUGUCUUAGAAAGAAAAAAAAAAGUAUUUGGACACAGACAUGCAUGCAAGGAAGGCCAAUGAUGCCGGCCACCACCAGGAGCUGGGAGAGGCCCAGGGCAGAUCCCCUUCAGCCUUGGAGGGACCUAGCCCUGGCCACACCUUCAUCUCAGACUUGCGGCCCAGAGAACUGAAUGAGAAUAAAUGUGCGUGAAGCCCCUCAGUCCACAGGAUGUGGUACUGGAAGCCCCCACUCAAGAAGGCUCCAGUGAAUGCUGGCACGUUCAGCCAGGAUGCCUCCGUGAAGCUGGAGACCUCUGCCCUGGGUCGGGAGGGGAAACUGCUCCAAUCCAGGGACUGCCACAUGGGAGGGGACGGAGCGUGCCCACCUCCCAGGGGUGAGGGGGGACCCACCUGAGAUGUGUGCACAUUUUAUUUAUUUAUUGUUUUGAGACAAAGUCUCGCUGUGUCACCCAGGCUGGAGUGCAGUGGUGAAAUCUCGGCUCAUUGCAGCCCCUUCCUUCCAGGCUCAAGUGAUCCUCCCACCUCAGCCCCGGGUAGCUGGGACUACAGGUGUGCACGAGCACACCCGGCUAAUCUUUGUAUUUUUUGUAGACAGAAGGUCUCACCAUGUUGCCCAGGAUGGUCUCGAACUCCUGGGCUCAAGCGACCUACCUACCUCGGCCUCACAAAGUGUGCACAUUGUAAUAUCGUGAUUUCAUAUUUGGAGAAUCAGCAACCAACCAGCCAACCAUGUUGCUUUUAUAAGACAGAGCUGAGAAAGCAAAGCUUGGCUGUCGUCUUGGCUCUGGUACCACCCACGAGAUGCGGGCGAUUCUCAGCUCAGGGCGUGGAGGCGUGGUGUGGGGGAGUCUAUUUGCCAUUUUUGUUUGUCAGCAGGGGGCAGGGGUUCUCAAAGAUUGCAAAAUGCUGCUGCAGGUCAGGAAGGUUAUUUUGGGUGCCUGUGGGGGAGGUGAAACAAGGUCCCAUGACUGUUUUGCAGAACCUUGUCUGUGGAGGGUAGAGGUUGCGGCAGGGGCCUGUGGGCCUUACUUGGUGAGAAGGUAGGUCUAGCUGGCUCCAUUCAGUAUUUGAGACAUUUGGAAUUUGUCUGCAUUUAAAACCAAGAGAUCACACACACCUGUCUGGAUUUGGAGUUUCUCUUGAAAACUCGCCAGUCCGGCCGUCUGAGCCUGCACUGACGCCUGGUGAAGCUGUGCAGGGGCCGCCCCUCUCCCUUUCACCACAGUCCUCUCCACUCCCUUUCGCCUCUCCCUGGCCUGCUGCACUCACUGAUAGGAAAUUCUGACCCCAGACUCGGAGCAGCCUUCCCGUGGUUCGGUUUUUGCUUCCGCGAAAAAGCCAAAGGCCUUGGCCAGAGAGCCAGCUGUUCCUACCUCUACCCCACGCUUCCAAGGCAACCUUCUCCACUUAUCUUAGGCCGAGAGACAGCUCUUCAAGAACGUACAUGGAUCCUGAUUUUCUCACGAAGUCCCGAUGGAACCCUGUGCUGUUGAGACAUCAGUGUGUAAAACUCUCUGUGUCCCUGUUGGGCUGUCCAGACAGUCUGGACUCUUGUAAAUUUGAGAUUUAAUUAAAGGAAACAAACCAAAUAGGACUGCGGAACAAUUUAAAUAAAAGCACACACCAGCCUGGG